AUCUAUUAUGGACCCUUUUAGGGUGCACCCCUUGCUACACCCCCACUUUUUCACUGUUUUACCGUGGGCCCACCUGAAUAUUGAAAAAUUAAAAAAUUGAAAAGCUUUAUGUGAUUACAGUUUUGCCCUUCCUUCUCACUUUCACAUGUUCUUCUACUUCCAACGACAAAGCUUCAUCAUUCAUCUACUUCAUCUACAACCUUUACAAAGAAAUUCCGAUUUGAGUAGAUCUACAUCAAAAAUAUCUUUCUCCUUCUUGAAAUCAUGUUUCCUCUUUGAUAAAGACCACAAAAAUCUUUCCCCUUCUCUGCAAUUUCACGUUCCACUCGCAUUCGUUGAUGUUCUUCCGACGAGCUGCCACCGCUCACCAUCUGGAAUUGUGUGUUUACUAAAGCUGAACAAAGCUGGGAGGGGUGGUGGUUGAAGAGCAGGUUUCAUCUUUUUGUUCUGAAUCUGUGCAAGUUGAAGAACAAGAAUGACAAGCUUACUAAUCGACUCACAUUUGUUUAGAUUUAUGGAAAUGCAUAAGUAAAUUACAGUGGAGCCUCCCUCCCUGAGAGUCUUAUAUUUUGGCUUUUAGCUUGGCAAGUCUUUUGGGGGAAAUUCUUGUAUUUAUUUUCCACGUGCCUACCACAUGAUACUCUGUUACUCUUAUUUCCUUUAAUUUUAGUUUGGGUAGAUAACCGGUUCUUCCGGCUUAUUAAAAAAGAGAUAAUUCGCACUA